rnacentral:rRNA from 1 species
CCUACGGGUGGCAGCAGUGGGGAAUAUUGCACAAUGGGCGCAAGCCUGACCCAGCAACGCCGCGUGAAGGAAGAAGGCUUUCGGGUUGUAAACUUCUUUUGUCAGGGAAGAGUAGAAGACGGUACCUGACGAAUAAGCCACGGCUAACUACGUGCCAGCAGCCGCGGUAAUACGUAGGUGGCAAGCGUUGUCCGGAUUUACUGGGUGUAAAGGGCGGGUAGCCGGGUUGACAAGUCAGAUGUGAAAUCCUGCGGCUUAACCGCAGAACUGCAUUUGAAACUGUUGAUCUUGAGUACUGGAGAGGCAGACGGAAUUCCUAGUGUAGCGGUGAAAUGCGUAGAUAUUAGGAGGAACACCAGUGGCGAAGGCGGUCUGCUGGACAGCAACUGACGGUGAGGCGCGAAAGCGUGGGGAGCAAACAGGAUUAGAUACCCCAGUAGUC